rnacentral:piRNA from 1 species
UNGAUGCUGGUCCUUCCGCCGAGAUGGCUU